rnacentral:rRNA from 1 species
UUGAACGCUGGCGGCAUGCUUUACACAUGCAAGUCGAACGGCAGCGCGGGCUUCGGCCUGGCGGCGAGUGGCGAACGGGUGAGUAAUACAUCGGAACGUGCCCAGUAGUGGGGGAUAGCUCGGCGAAAGCCGGAUUAAUACCGCAUACGACCUGAGGGUGAAAGCGGGUGAUCUUCGGACCUCGCGCUAUUGGAGCGGCCGAUGGCAGAUUAGCUAGUUGGUGGGGUAAAGGCCUACCAAGGCGACGAUCUGUAGCUGGUCUGAGAGGACGACCAGCCACACUGGGACUGAGACACGGCCCAGACUCCUACGGGAGGCAGCAGUGGGGAAUUUUGGACAAUGGGCGAAAGCCUGAUCCAGCAAUGCCGCGUGUGUGAUGAAGGCCUUCGGGUUGUAAAGCACUUUUGGCGGGAACGAAAAGGACUGUGCCAAUACCACGGUUCGAUGACGGUACCCGCAGAAUAAGCACCGGCUAACUACGUG